UAGGGAAUCUUCGGCAAUGGACGAAAGUCUGACCGAGCAACGCCGCGUGAGUGAAGAAGGUUUUCGGAUCGUAAAACUCUGUUGUUAGAGAAGAACAAGGACGUUAGUAACUGAACGUCCCCUGACGGUAUCUAACCAGAAAGCCACGGCUAACUACGUGCCAGCAGCCGCGGUAAGACGUAGGUGGCAAGCGUUGUCCGGAUUUAUUGGGCGUAAAGCGAGCGCAGGCGGUUUCUUAAGUCUGAUGUGAAAGCCCCCGGCUCAACCGGGGAGGGUCAUUGGAAACUGAGAGACUUGAGUGCAGAAGAGGAGGGUGGAAUUCCAUGUGUAGCGGUGAAAUGCGUAGAUAUAUGGAGGAACACCAGUGGCGAAGGCGGCUCUCUGGUCUGUAACUGACGUUGAGGGUCGAAAGCGUGGGGAGCAAACAGG
rnacentral:rRNA from 1 species